rnacentral:rRNA from 1 species
AUUGAACGCUGGCGGCAUGCUUUACACAUGCAAGUCGAACGGCAGCGCGGGCUUCGGCCUGGCGGCGAGUGGCGAACGGGUGAGUAAUGCAUCGGAACGUGCCCAGUAGUGGGGGAUAGCCCGGCGAAAGCCGGAUUAAUACCGCAUACGACCUGAGGGUGAAAGCGGGGGACCGAAAGGCCUCGCGCUAUUGGAGCGGCCGAUGUCGGAUUAGCUAGUUGGUGGGGUAAAGGCUUACCAAGGCGACGAUCCGUAGCUGGUCUGAGAGGACGACCAGCCACACGGGGACUGAGACACGGCCCAGACCCCUACGGGAGGCAGAGGUGGGGAAUUUUGGAAAAGGGGGCAACCCUGAUCCAGCCAUGCCGCGUGCGGGAAGAAGGCCUUCGGGUUGUAAACCGCUUUUGUUCGGGAAGAAAUCCUCUGGGCUAAUACCCCGGGGGGAUGACGGUACCGGAAGAAUAAGCACCGGCUAACUACGUG